UACCAGCACCCCGAGUGGUCGGGACGUUUUAUUGGGCCUAAAGCAUCCGUAGCCGGUUCUACAAGUCUUCCGUUAAAUCCAACUGCUUAACAGGUGGGCUGCGGAAGAUACUAUAGAGCUAGGAGGCGGGAGAGGCAAGCGGUACUCGAUGGGUAGGGGUAAAAUCCGUUGAUCCAUUGAAGACCACCACGUGGCGAAGGCGGCUUGCCAGAACGCGCUCGACGGUGAGGGAUGAAAGCGUGGGGAGCAAACAGGG
rnacentral:rRNA from 1 species